UUCUGUUAGUAGGAGCUGAGAAAAGACUGUGGUCAGGAUUGUGGAUGCUCAGCUGCUUGCCAAGACCUUAGAAACAAAAUCAGCUGCAGUGAGCUGUCCCAGGAGCUGCAUAACAAAGCUUUGUGCAUUCAUAGGCACAGAUCCUUAUGUCAUAUUGGUUGUAAGUGGUCAGAGAGUGGCACAGGCCCUGCCUUUGAGCCAGACAAGGUCAGCCACCUGGUCACCUGGCAGGAUGGCCGCUGCAGCCCCACCUUCCUGUCUUCUCUUCCCCUGCCACAAUCACACGUGAGCCUGGCUACAGGAUUUGGAUGUGCCACAGUUUACUGGUAUUUAAAGAACAGGUACAUUGCUCCUCAAAAGGCUGUUUCUCAUCUUGAAUUUAUGUGACAAUUAGUAUUCUUGUAGCAUGUUAAUGCUGCUACAGGCUGAGGGGUUGUGCUUCUCUGUGAUCAUAAUCUUAACUAAGUAGUCAGAGUAUUUAAAAUGGCAGUAUUUGAUAUAAACUACAUGCAAUUAAGCAUGUGUCCUGGUUUAGGGCAA